rnacentral:lncRNA from 1 species
ACUGACCUGCCCCACUACUAAUUGAGAGUCACUGUAGGCCUGAAGCUAAUCUACUUCUAACUCUUUGGCGAUCCUCAGUCCUGUAAUCAAAGCUUCAUAUUCUGCUCCGUUAUUUAUCGUAGGAAAUUCGAAGCGCAGCGCAUACUCUGCGAUAAUUCCAUCUAGAUUGAUCAAGAUCAGGUCCGCACCUGCGCUUGACAUGUUGGAGGAACCGUCCACAUAGAGGGUCCAAAAACCAUCAGGGAGAUCUAUUCUUUCUUCAAGGGAGUUCGGUUGGAGCCCUGGAUUGUCGGCUUCAUCUCGUCCAAGUUUGGCCACUUCCAGGAUAGUGCAUUCCACUAUGAAGUUUGCUAAUAUCUAGGUUU